GAUGAACGCUGGCGGCGUGCCUAAUACAUGCAAGUCGAGCGAACGGACGAUAAGCUUUCUUCUCUGAUGUUAGCGGCGGACGGGUGAGUAACACGUGGAUAACCUACCUAUAAGACUGGGAUAACUUCGGGAAACCGGAGCUAAUACCGGAUAAUAUUUUGAACCGCAUGGUUCAAAAGUGAAACACGGUCUUGCUGUCACUUAUAGAUGGAUCCGCGCUGCAUUAGCUAGUUGGUAAGGUAACGGCUUACCAAGGCAACGAUGCAUAGCCGACCUGAGAGGGUGAUCGGCCACACUGGAACUGAGACACGGUCCAGACUCCUACGGGAGGCAGCAGUAGGGAAUCUUCCGCAAUGGGCGAAAGCCUGACGGAGCAACGCCGCGUGAGUGAUGAAGGUCUUCGGAUCGUAAAACUCUGUUAUUAGGGAAGAACAUAUGUGUAAGUAACUGUGCACAUCUUGACGGUACCUAAUCAGAAAGCCACGGCUAACUACGUG
rnacentral:rRNA from 1 species